CCAGAAUCAGUUGACUGAAUUACAUUUAAAGAAUGAUGCUUUCGACACAUUUGACUCUUUUUUUGUUGACCAUGUCUUUGAUUCCAGAAAUAAACAUUUCGUAUGAGCUUCAAGAUACAAUUCACACUCUCAGGGAGGAGAACGCAUACCUUCAACACAAACUGAAAAAUCUCACCCAAGCACUGCGGGACAUGAGAAAACGGAUGCUGGAUCACUCACAUGAAUCUGCUGUGGAUGGUGACCAGCUGCAUGCCUGGAAUGAAUGGAUUCAAAACGGUCUCAACACAGAGACUCAUCUCAUGUUAGAACAAGCUUUCUGUGUACCAGAUCUUCACAACAGUGCGGUUUCCCUGAGCAAAUUCAUUUUGUUCUAUCAGGUUUCUUAUGGGUUGGGUUGCUUCUUAUCUAGAUACUGAUAUCAUUUAUCUUUUAACACGUUUAAACCUGUAGACAACUAAUAUUGCCUAAGCCUGUAUUUUAAAUUCCUUUUUUACCUGGAAAUAUGUUUUGAGUGAUUACAAAUGACGAAAAACAACCGACAUCCAAAGAUAUCAUAAAGGAAGAGCUCUCGCUUGCUGAAUGAUGUGUGGACUGUGGAGGUGUAGAAAAUCUCUAGGUGUUUACAAAAAUUUACCUGUAAACUUUAGUGAGCAAUGUCCAAAACCCCCAUGUCACUCUCUGCAUGUAGGUUUCUUUAUAGAGAUAUGUCAAUAUGAGUCAGGUUGCUUUUCUUUAAAAAAAUCAAUACAUUAAUUAAUUUGAACUGAAAUAUGUCACGAAACAUUCUGACCUUAGUUUCAACUUAAAGGGAUAGUUUACCCAAAAAGGAAAGUUCUGUCUGUAUACAUUUACUCAUCCU